rnacentral:lncRNA from 1 species
CGUGAAGGAGCCUGUAAAGUUUGACAAUAUAGAAACAAAGUCUGAAGAAAACACUGAAGUUUCUCCAGUCAAGCUAAAAAUUGAAAGUUUUGAUAGAUUGGAGGAAAUUGGUGGUAUGAAAGCUAUUGGAACUGAAAAAAAUGAGAGUCAUGUCAUUCCCUUUUUUGAAGAACAGAGAACUGUUGAUAGUUGUAAAGAUUCUCAACAGAUUAGUUUACCCGAGGCUAGUUUAGUGGCCUCGUCAAUUGAGAAUCCAAGGGAUGCAUCAUUUGCUUCUGCAACCAGUGAAACAAUUGGUGUAAUUAGCAUAUAUCAUGAGAAAAACAGAACUGAAAUAAAUGAUAUAGUUGUAGAUUGCAACAAUGUAAGAGCUAAUGUGGAAAAUGAUAUUGGAACUAAAACAAAAGAUCUCCAACCUAGUGACCUCCUGCAAUUGGAUGGCAAACAAUCAAGGAACUUAGUUAAGAGUGAUGAUGUUGGUGAAAUGGGUAAAAUUGAAAAAUGUGAUAUUACUGAAACCCCAGUUAUUUCCAAGGCCGUAGUUGAUGGAGCUACAAAAAAGGCAAAAGCUCUAGAUUGCACAAAUGGAGGUCCAAUAUUAGUUACCCGGGAAGACAUAAAAGAAGAUGACUCAUAUCAUGCACAAGAUGCAGAACGGCCAGUAAAGGGUGCAGAAAACGUUGCUAGGAAGUCUACAUCGCCUUUAAAUACGGAGCCUUCUGCUCAACAUGUUUCUGCUGUUGAAGAUAAUAGAGAGGGAGGCCCUGGUGGGGAAGCGUCUGGAAUCACUGCUGUGCCUGUACAAGACAGAAAAGAUGAAAUUAGUAGCCAUGUCAAAGUGCAUGAAGAAUAUAGCAGAUCUAUUGAUCCUUCUGGUGACUCAAAUCAGACACAUGAUGCAGAACUGUUGGUGAAGGCUGUAGAAAACCUUGCUGUGAAGUAUACAUCACUUUCUUUAAAUUCUGAGCCUUCUUCUCAGCAUGAUUCUGCUGCUGAAGAUAAUAAAGAUGGGGAGCAAGGCGAAAAAGUGUCUGGAAUUACUAAUGUGCCUGUUCAAGAUCGAAGCGUUAAUAAUUUGGUCAAACAUAGUUCAUCUGGAUUUGAUGCUUCAAUUGACUCCAGUAGCCAGUGUGACAGUUUGGAAGGCAACCAGGGCUCUGUGUCAGGUAUAUUUACACUGUUGUUUGUAAUGGAAAAUAUUUUCAGUUUUUUCACUUUAUUCAAACAUUAUCUGUUCGGGAUAUUGCAUUAUGAUAGGCUGGUCAAUGCAUUAUUGCAUUAUGAUAGGCUGGUCAAUGCCAGCUAAUGUGGUUGGACCAUGUGAAAGAAAAGUUUUCUAUAGACCAAACUGCUAUAAUGAAAAAUUGUUCCUUUUUUCACACCUUUCUUCUUCUUGCUAUGUUAUCAAUUAGAGAUUCGUGAUUCAGACACAUUAACCAUGUCCCAAACUGCUUUUUCAUUUCCAUAAUCUACCUUCUCAGCUAUAAGCCUAUUUGGAAUUGGAUCCCAGAUGUUAAGUGUAUUAUUCAUGAAAAUCUUUCUUUUACAUCAAAUGUCGGAGGCUGUAGUUCAUACUAUUGGGUGAAUUGGUACGUGUUACUGAAAAUUGUAUUCCUAUUCCAUGGCUGAUAAGAAUGGGUUAGAUCUUUUAUGUAUACACUCCUAAGCACCAAAGAGACACAUACAUGCACAUUUAUACAUUAAUAUAGACUCAUGCUAGCUACUAGUACUAUACCUGUGUGCAUCUCUGAAUGUUGCUUAGUGAAAAUUUUGAAUUAAAUUUAGUCAUUGUUCAUGGCUUUUGUAUACUUGCAAAGAUACAUGCCCAUAUCUUUUGUAUAGCAGACAAUAAUUUUAUGGGUAUUGGCUCAACAACACAAAUCCAAAAUUCGUCGAUUUCCCCAAAUGUGUGUUGUUUGCAGCCUCACCCACUUCUCAUUUUCUCUCAUGAUCUCUAUGUUUUUUCUUUUUUAUUUAGCUGACAGCUAGAUUCGUACAAUUCAUGUCGUACCAUCUAGCAUCACUCAUAUUUUACAUGUUUUCCAUCCAUAUUCAAUACCUAUUGGUUUGGUGUGACCCCAUUGAGCGAAAAUGUAUUUGAUUUACCUGUUCAAUAUUCGUUAAACAGUUAUCUCAUUGAAAUCCGAUGCUCCAGCUGUUAUCGAUAAUGAAACUUUAC